rnacentral:rRNA from 1 species
UACGUAGGUGGCAAGCGUUGUCCGGAUUUACUGGGCGUAAAGAGCGCGCAGGCGGUCGUUCAAGUCGCGUGUGAAAGCCCCCGGCUCAACUGGGGAGGGUCACGCGAUACUGAUCGACUCGAAGGCAGGAGAGGGAAGUGGAAUUCCCGGUGUAGUGGUGAAAUGCGUAGAUAUCGGGAGGAACACCAGUGGCGAAGGCGACUUCCUGGCCUGUUCUUGACGCUGAGGUACGAAAGCGUGGGGAGCAAACGGG